rnacentral:rRNA from 1 species
AUUGAACGCUGGCGGCCGGCCUAACACAUGAAAGUCGAGCGAGCGGCGGACGGGUGAGUAAUGUCUGGGAAACUGCCUGAUGGAGGGGGAUAACUAAUGGAAAAGGUAGCUAAUCCCGAAUACCAUCAGAUGUGCCCAGAUGGGAUUAGAUAGUAGUGGGGGUAAAGGCUCACCUAGGCGACGAGCCCUAGCUGGUCUGAGAGGGUGACCAGACACACUGUAACUGAGACACGGUCCAGACUCCUACGGGAGGCAGCGGUGGGGAAUAUUGCACAAUGGGCGCAAGCCUGAUGCAGCCAGGCCGCGUGUUUGAAGAAGGCCUUCGGGUUGUAAAGCACUUUCAGCGGGGAGGCGUUACCCGCAGAAGAAGCACCGGCUAACUCCGUGCCAGCCGCCGCGGUAAUUC